rnacentral:tRNA from 1 species
GCGCGGGUGGUGUAACGGUAGCCACGCCAGCUUGAGGUGCUGGUGCCUUCAAAAGCGUGCAGGUUCGACUCCUGUCCCGCGCA